UGAAAAACAUGACACUGCACAACUUAGUUAUUAGCCUUCACCCUCUCCACUUCUCCAGCGACCAGCCCCUGCCCCACUCCACCGGCACCUGCAGCCUAGGACUGUCCAUUACCCCAAAAUCAUCGGCCUUUUCGUCAUCGUUACCCCCAAGGCUCCACCAUCAUCCAACUCCGGCAGCCACCGUCGACCCGCCCUUGAAUAUAUCUCACUCUCAGAAGCUUUGUCAAGAUAUAUACCACCAAAACCUCUACAUGAAAACAACGCCAAACUGGAUCUUCCACUGGUGAUAAAGCCUGACCCGACCCGACCGGAAUUUCUAACAUCAAUUUGACGAAAACUCGAGCACCUAAAAAGUGAACCCAGUGGAAAAAAAAUCCUGGAUCCGCCACUGUUGGUGAUGGAGUGAAAGCCUUGACCGGUGUGCAAGUUAAGUUGAAAGGGGAUGAUAGCAUCGGGAAUGGAUUGAAUGGGAGAAGAGGAAUGGUGUGUGAAGGCCUUUGAUAGAUGGGGGGAUGAAUCUGAAAAGGAUUGUAAAAGAUGCUUACCCAGGUAACCACUGCCUCCGAUUAUUAGUAAUCUCUUCAUUUCAUUGGUCUUCACCGAUCUCAAUUCACGCCGCCGAGAAAGGGUUUUUUUGGGUGUUGCAACACCAUUUGCAGUGGAGGAGGGGCUAGGUGCUAAACGGGUUGUGUUUGCAGGUAGGCGGGUUCAACUCGACCCGAACCUAAAACUUUUAUACGAACUCGAAUCCGACCCGAACCCGAAAAUUGUGUCAUACAAAUGAACCCGAACCCGAAAAUUGUGUCAUACAAAUGAACCCGAACC